rnacentral:rRNA from 1 species
GAUAAACGCUGGCGGCGCACAUAAGACAUGCAAGUCGAACGGAAGUCGUUACGAAAUGGAAUGAAGAUUUAUCUGAAUGAAGUUUUGUAACAAUGGCUUUAGUGGCGGACUGGUGAGUAACACGUAAGCAACCUGCCUAUUAGAGGGGAAUAACAAUGAGAAAUCAUUGCUAAUACCGCAUAAGCUUGUAGUAUCGCAUGGUACAGCAAGAAAAGGAGUAAUCCGCUAAUAGAUGGGCUUGCGGCUGAUUAGCUAGUUGGUGUGGUAACGGCAUACCAAGGCAACGAUCAGUAGCCGGGCUGAGAGGCUCUGCGGCCACAUUGGGACUGAGAUACGGCCCAG